UACGAAGGGGGCUAGCGUUGCUCGGAAUUACUGGGCGUAAAGGGCGCGUAGGCGGCACUGUUAGUCAGGCGUGAAAGUCCUGGGCUCAACCUGGGAACUGCGCUUGAUACGGCAGAGCUAGAGGAUGGAAGAGGCUCGCGGAAUUCCCAGUGUAGAGGUGAAAUUCGUAGAUAUUGGGAAGAACACCAGUGGCGAAGGCGGCUCACUGGCCCAUUACUGACGCUGAGGCACGAAAGCGUGGGGAGCAAACAGG
rnacentral:rRNA from 1 species